rnacentral:rRNA from 1 species
UAGGGAAUCUUCGGCAAUGGACGAAAGCCUGACCGAGCAACGCCGCGUGAGUGAAGAAGGUUUUCGGAUCGUAAAACUCUGUUGUUAGAGAAGAACAAGGACGUUAGUAACUGAACGUCCCCUGACGGUAUCUAACCAGAAAGCCACGGCUAACUACGUGCCAGCAGCCGCGGUAAUACGUAGGUGGCAAGCGUUGUCCGGAUUUAUUGGGCGUAAAGCGAGCGCAGGCGGUUUCUUAAGUCUGAUGUGAAAGCCCCCGGCUCAACCGGGGAGGGUCAUUGGAAACUGGGAGACUUGAGUGCAGAAGAGGAGAGUGGAAUUCCAUGUGUAGCGGUGAAAUGCGUAGAUAUAUGGAGGAACACCAGUGGCGAAGGCGGCUCUCUGGUCUGUAACUGACGCUGAGGCUCGAAAGCGUGGGGAGCAAACAGG